rnacentral:rRNA from 1 species
CACGUAGGGGCAAGCGUUGUCCGGAAUCAUUGGGCGUAAAGAGCUCGUAGGCGGCUCAGUAAGUCGGGUGUGAAACCCUCAGGCUCAACCUGGGGACGCCACCCGAUACUGCUGUGGCUAGAGUCCAGUAGGGGAGUGUGGAAUUCCCGGUGUAGCGGUGAAAUGCGCAGAUAUCGGGAAGAACACCCGUGGCUAAGGCGGCUCUCUAGUACGGUACUGACGCUGAGACGCGAAAGCGUGGGGAGCGAACAGG